UUCCGGUUGAUCCUGCCGGAGGCCACUGCUAUUGGGAUCCGACUAAGCCAUGCGAGUCGAGAGGGUUCGGCCCUCGGCAGACUGCUCAGUAACACGUGGAUAACCUAACCUUAGGUGGAAGAUAACCUCGGGAAACUGAGAAUAAUAUUCCAUAGAUCUAGGGUGCUGGAAUGCAUCUAAAUUGAAAGCUCCGGCGCCUAAGGAUAAGUCUGCGGACUAUCAGGUUGUAGUCAGGGUAAAGACCUGACUAGCCUACGACGGAUACGGGUUGUGAGAGCAAUAACCCGGAGACGAUAUCUGAGACACGAUAUCGGGCCCUACGGGGCGCAGCAGGCGCGAAAACUUCACACUGUGCGAAAGCGCGAUGAGGGAAUCCCAAGUGUUUGCUCGUUAGAGUAAACUGUUUCUUUGUUUAAAACGCAGAGAGAGUAAGGGCUGGGUAAGACGGGUGCCAGCCGCCGCGGUAAUACCUGCAGCUCAAGUGGUGAUCAUUAUUAUUGGGCCUAAAACGUCCGUAGCCGGUUUAGUAAAUGCCUGGGUAAAUCGUGUAGCUUAACUAUACGACUUCCGGGUAGACUGCUAAACUUGAGACCGGGUGAGGCUAGAGGUACUCCUGGGGUAGAGGUGAAAUUCUGUAAUCCUAGGGGGACCACCAGUGGCGAAGGCGUCUAGCUAGAACGGGUCUGACGGUGAGGGACGAAGCCCUGGGGCACAAACCGGAUUAGAUACCCGGGUAGUCCAGGGUGUAAACGCUGCUUGCUUGAUGUUAGUUGGGCUCCGAGCCCAACUAGUGUCGGAGAGAAGUUGUUAAGCAAGCUGCCUGGGAAGUACGGUCGCAAGGCUGAAACUUAAAGGAAUUGGCGGGGGAGCACAGCAACGGGUGGAGCGUGCGGUUUAAUUGGACUCAACGCCGGU
rnacentral:rRNA from 1 species